UACGCUUUUGCUCUUACAAUACUCUAUCACCGACUUUCAAAAUUGAAACAAACCCUAAUUCUCGCUACCUUCCUUUCUGUGAUGAAUCUUUCUACAUCCGUCACCAGAUCUCCUCCCUCAUUAUCCUAGCCACCAUCUCCAUCUCCUCCCUUUCUCUGUCAUGAAUCUUUCUCCAGGCGAUUCUAGGGUUUCUUUCCCGGUCGCUUCAAGAUCUAAGCUUUCUGAGAGAUGAAUCUUUGUAGAUCCAACACCAGAUCGACUGGUGUGACCGCUCGGUACCUUUCUUUUUACCAUCUCUAUUAUAUGUUAUUUGAAUCGGAUCUGGGUUGUAAUUUUCCAGACUUGGUGGAAGAUCUGGGUUGCAUCUUUGUGUCUCGAUAUGGUGGAGGAAGACCUGGCCAGCUCUAGGUCGAUGUAUACUAAAGCUUCAGAUCUAGGUUGUGAUUUCCUAGACUUGGUGGAAGAUCUGGGUUGCAUCUUUGUUUCUCGAGAGGGCGGAGGAAGAUCUGGCCAGAUCUAGGUCGAUUUAUUGUAGUCAUUGCAGAGAUAUUGGUCUUUGGGUUUUAUCAACUAUCAGACAUUGUAAUUUCCAUGUAAUAAGUUUAUUGGAUAUUUUGAUCUUGCUGUUGAAUAUUUUUGUGAAAUGUUGGAUCACAUCCGAUUUUUAAUGCUUCAGUCAAAAUAGGUCAAAUGGAUUGACGGGUUGUAAAGAGGUUGGUGAGUUUUAGAUAUUUUGCAAAAAAAUGGUAGUUGUUGAAGCCCAUGUUAGCAAGAAGUCAACAAUGGUAAACCAAGUUGUUUUAUUUCAGCUCUAGCUUUUACGCUCAUCAAAUAAAAGUGUUCAAAAAUUAAAAUCAUUUGUAAUUAUUUAAAUUAUGCUUUGACUCAGAUGCGUUCUUUUAGGUUGGUGCUGGAAUAUCAAAGCCAAAUAAGGUCAUUACAGCUUGAAUUGUGGCAUAUUCUUGGUCCGUGUGGGCUAUCCUGGUGAUAUCUUGCGCUCCAAACCUGUUGGUCUGCAGUACCUGUUGGUAGGCUCCAAACCUGUUGGUAGGCUUUUUUUUUUUUUGUUGUCGUUUUAGGUCUGCAGUACCAGAGUACAUGAAAACUGAAUGGCGUAUGGUUGCUCUCUAUAUCGUGGUUUUGUUCGUGUCUUGAAAGAAGGCUGCUGUGCUCUCCAUGAUUUGGGUGGUUAAAUCCAAACAGUAGGUUUCUGAAAGCAUCUCUCAAGUCUCAUCAGGCUCUCCACGAUGGCCUGUGGCUUCAUCGUCGUCUCUCUUAAUCACAUGUGACCCAAAUCUUCUUGCUUUGGUUGGUUUGCUGCACUUCUACAUGUGAGAGUAUACUUUAUGAGGUCGCCGUUCUGAUUGGGUAUUUGUUACCACUGACCACAUUUUUUUUGCCCGUGCAUACUGCUUUAGAAAUCUAUAGGUGAAGCUGUUGAGGUCCAGGAUAGUAAUGAUGUGCUAUGCUACUUAUAAUAAGUUAAAUCCCAUUAUUGUCAUGAUAUACAUGCGAUAGCUGCUGAUGAAGCACCAAUAUCCAAAAGGAAGACUAAAGAGAGAGUUGAAAUCCACAUGUUAAACCGUUUUGGAGGAUGCUCCUAAUGCUACCGGGUAGACUCAGACACACCCAUGUAUGAUUGGGCACCAUUCUGUUUUUUUACUUAUUAUGCUUCAACUUUGAACUUACAGAUUAUUUUUUACUGUUUUAACAUAUAAGCAAUUUUAUACUUGCUGUGAACAUUCAAUCCCAUCAAAAGUUUAUUUAUUUUCUUCAUUUUUAAACCCAAAUUAAAAGACUUUCACACACAUAUCAUG